AAACUAAAUCCUUAAAAUCCCAAAUUACAAAGAAUAAAAGAAGCCUUUGCAGCCGCAUAAACCCAGAAUCGAAGAAGCACUUGCUGGCUGCAGCAGCACAAACCCAGCUCUUACAGGCUGCAGUAGCACGAAACCAGCCAAAGGAUCAGAGAACCACUUGUAGCUGAUGAACCCGUCUUUGAGUCUCAAGUCGUCGAUGCCUUAGCUGCAUGCCAACGACGUCAGCCGCUAAGGCCGUGAGCCGCACGUUGCUACGCUUCCGGCUAAAGCCACAACAGAAGUUGAAGUCCCAAACCCAGCCGCUGCAUUUAUUUCUUUAUUGCAAGGGUUUCCAAUGGAAUUGGAUCUAUCAAAGCUUGUGAGGUGCAGAGAAAUAAGAAUAGAUAUUUAUCUUUCGAAAAAUUACAGAGAUUUGGGUCUUUUGACUUUCAAUUUUUGUCUUUCUUUUCUCCAUUUGCUGGCUUGCUGCAUUUGUUCUUAUUUGUGUGAUUUCAAUUUUGUAUUACAACUUGAAAAUGACUUGGAUUCAUCUGAUUUAUUUGAGCAAUUUCAAUAUGAUAUUACUAAUCCGAAUCCGAAUUAAUCUAAACUAUUCAUCCGAUCCGAACUUAUUCGAAUCGAUUUUGAAUUCGGAUUACAUUCGGAUGACUUUUUUACCAAUCCGAACAAUCCGAAAUCCGAUCGGAUUGAAUCGAAUCCGAUCGGAUUGAAUCGAAUCCGAUCUGUAUCUGAAUUUGCCCACCCCUAAUUUGUAGCUCUUCUAUAACUUUCAUUAUCUCACAAAAAAUGAUGAUCCAUAAUGUUUCUAUUAAUUUUAUAGAGUAAUUAUGUCACUAUAAAAUGAAAGCUUAUCGCUUUAUUUUAUAUACACUUGAAAU
rnacentral:lncRNA from 1 species